rnacentral:rRNA from 1 species
GGUAUGUACUAGCCUGCCGAUUCCUCCUUCUUGUAGAACCGUAAUGCCAUUAAUUUGGUGUUGCGGGGAAACAGGACUGUUACUUUGAAAAAAUUAGAGUGUUUAAAGCAGGCUAGCGCCUGAAUACAUUAGCAUGGAAUAAUGAAAUAGGACGUUCGAACCUAUUUUGUUGGUUUCUAGGAUUGACGUAAUGAUUAACAGGGAUAGUUGGGGGCAUUAGUAUUCAACUGUCAGAGGUGAAAUUCUUGGAUUUAUUGAAGACUGACUACUGCGAAAGCAUUUGCCAAGGAUGUUUUCAUUAAUCAAGAACGAAAGUUAGGGGAUCGAAGACGAUCAGAUACCGUCGUAGUCUUAACCAUAAACUAUGCCGACUAGGGAUCGGAUGAUGUUAAUUUUUUAAUGACUCAUUCGGCGCCUUACG